GCCUGGGUGGUGAAAUUGGUAUACACGAAAGACUUAAAAUCUUUUUCCUUCGGGAGUGAGGGUUCGAGUCCCUCCCCAGGCACCA
rnacentral:tRNA from 1 species